rnacentral:rRNA from 1 species
UACGUAGGUGGCGAGCGUUGUCCGGAUUUACUGGGCGUAAAGCGCGCGCAGGCGGUCCGGUAAGUCUCCGGUGAAAUCGCCCGGCUCAACUGGGCGGGUGCCGGGGAGACUGGCGGACUUGAGGAGCCUAGAGGCCGGUGGAACUCCCGGUGUAGUGGUGAAAUGCGUAGAGAUCGGGAAGAACACCAGUGGCGAAGGCGGCCGGGUGGGGGUGUCCUGACGCUGAGGCGCGAGAGCGUGGGGAGCAAACCGG